GCAUCGAUAGCUCAGCGGUAGAGCGCUCAUCGUACAUGAGAGGUCACAGGUUCAAAUCCUGUUCGAUGGC